rnacentral:rRNA from 1 species
GACGAACGCUGGCGGCGUGCUUAACACAUGCAAGUCGAGCGGUAAGGCCCUUUCGGGGGUACACGAGCGGCGAACGGGUGAGUAACACGUGGGUGACCUGCCUCUAGCUCUGGGAUAAGCCUGGGAAACUGGGUCUAAUACCGGAUAUGACUCCACGGCGCAUGUUGUGGGGUGGAAAGCCUUGUGUGGCUAGAGAUGGGCCCGCGGCCUAUCAGCUUGUUGGUGGGGUGAUGGCCUACCAAGGCGACGACGGGUAGCCGGCCUGAGAGGGCGACCGGCCACACUGGGACUGAGACACGGCCCAGACUCCUACGGGAGGCAGCAGUGGGGAAUCUUGCGCAAUGGGCGAAAGCCUGACGCAGCGACGCCGCGUGAGGGAUGACGGCCUGGUGUAA